CUGAAAAGUAUCAAACAAAUGAACAAGCUAGCAGCUUCAUUUCUUAUCUGCAGUACAGAGUGUAAUGACUAACCCCCACCUUUGGAAUGCAUGUGAAACUGCCUGGAAACGGGAACCUAUAUCUGUGUUACUGUAACUUUUAGACCUCACAAAGUGACAUGAGUCUAUUGUGAGCUUUCCGCUUUGCAAAACGUAUAGAUAAUAAAAUAGCUUUGGUUAUGAUUCAGAGUCUCGCGUUGUGUGAGUAUUGGGGUUCUCACCCAGUGGAAAACGAACCUUAAAUUCUAGUGUAACAGUUCUGGUGACUCUGCCGGGACCCCUUCUGGUUAACCUCACAAGUACUUGCACCGCGCCAGAGAGCUGGGGAAGAGUGCUCCAGGCUGUUUUUGGCCUGACCCCAGGGCUGGGCAGACGGAAAGCAAGUACUAUGUGAGUAUUGAUUGAGGGCCCCUAUAGAGACUUGAACGAACCAACGCUCAUCCAGGGGGGCGGCCUGCUGAAAAGCUCAGGGGAUCCUGGGGAAUGUGGAAACUCCCAAUUGACUCUGAGUGUUGAACACAAGAUGAGUCAGAUUUUUCUUGAGGAAACAGGUGAAAAACUCAAAAAUUGAGACCAGGCGCCAUGUUGAAAUGGGUUUUAGUUAAAUUGUGUAAACUAAGAAAACUAUGAGAGCUUUGAAAUGACCUGAGGGGGGAAACCCUGGGUAUAUGGGAUAAAGUUGUUGUAAAUGUUUGUAUGAAAUGGUCAUGCGCUUGUGAGAAAAAGAGAAAAAGCAUGGUUGGGCAUAAGAUGUGUAUGAAUUGAGUACUCAUGUAUGAAUGUGUAAAGGUUUCUUGAAGUGUCUGUAUAAAGGUUUUCUGUGGAAAUGUUAUAAGAGAAUUGUUCCCCCUUGGCUAUUGCUGUUUAAAACAUCUCUGCUUGCUGCCUUUGUCUUUCACAAGACUUAAAGAACCUAAUCUGUUUCUUUAGUAAUCUUUGAAGUUAGUGUGAAGAAAUUUGCUCUGUUUGUUUAAGCAAGUGAUUAAGAGAGGUGGUCCUGGAAGUUUGGGGUUUAGACAGAAGGUUUGAGCUACGUAGACAGUGGAAAGGUUAAAGAGACGGUGAUUAAUUGUGAUGAGUAAGGAAUGUUUUGAGCAAAUUAGUGAGUUGUUUUUAGGGAGAAGAAAAAGAGAAUAAUGUUAGAGUCUUUUUUCCUUUGAUCCAUUACGGGGUUUAGUUCUAACACUGCAGCUCGUUCUCUGGGUAUGUGUGUGUCAGUAACCCCUCCUUCUCCCCCCCCUUGGCAGGCAAGCAGCCAAGAAGAGUCAAGCAGCUCCAUGAAGCCUGAUAUAAUUUUAUUAUAUCUUCUAAAAGUUUAAUCUUUUUUAUCCCACUCGGCUUUCCUGGCAGAAGCUAGGAAUCUCCUUUAUUUCACUUGUCCGUCUUGAUGGAUAAAUGUUAACAAUGCUUGUUUUGUUUUUAUAAAGGAGAACCUUCAAGGUCUCCCUUUUGCUCUCACCUUGUUCGGAGAAGUUCUUUCAGAUUGUUUUCUCCAUUGACUUUUUAUUUUGCAGCGGUUGAAAAAAACAACAAUUGCUUUGUGUUAAAUGAAUGUAGUGUUUUUAAUCUGGUGUGUUUUUGUUUGUCUUUCUUGAAAAGAAUUGCAAACAACGACAUGUGUUUUUGUAUGACUUUUGAGAACGUCUUUUUAAAGGCUGGCAACAUUUCUUUUGUAAUGCAGCAUAAUUUGGAAAAACUGGGGGUCAUCAUUUGGGAACUGGGAAAAUUUGGCAAGAAAACCAGGCUUGGGUUUUUCAAAUGAAUCCAGCCUGCAAAAACCAGAGGUCUUUGGUACAAAUUCUGUAGCUACGGGGAGAGGCAAUUCUCUCCUAAAACAGGGUGUCAUGGAUCACAGUGCAAGACCUUCUUUGGCACAAAAGGAAAAAGAAACAGUUGAAACCAGGAGGGCUCCUGUCUUUGAGCAAAGUCCUAUUAAUGUUCUUAAAGGGGAACAUACAAAAGCAUCUUCUGAAAGUGCAGGCCCUUGCUUAAAUGCUUCAGAGUUACUUGAAAACACACAAGAUGUGCCCACUUCCAUGGAAAAAAAUACUGAUUUGAAUGCUUCCCUUGGGUAUUCUUUUCCUGAGGAACAAUCUCUUGUUGGCAAACAGCCUUUGGAUCAAAACAAGACUCAAAGUAUAGAGCUUCUAGCUUUGGGAAGAGUCUAUCCAGACAUUGAAUUUACUUUGAAAAUUAAUACAAUUUGGCUUCCAAAACAGCAGUUGGUUUCUGAUGCCAUUUGCAUGCAAAUAGACAAAUUGCAAAGCCCUGAUUCCAACAGGGAGUUGCCUUUUUUAUUGUCACACUUUGUGCGUGUAAAUUCAGGCACUGGUGCAAAUGUGUUAUUGCAUGCAGUCCUUCAUAAGCUGAGUAAGAGAAACUCAGAGCAAUUGAUCUGCAAACAGGGUGUUCACUGGUGAAAUUCCCUGACGUGGUACAAAUGAAAGCACAAUUGUAUUUGGAAUGUUAUCUACUAACUGUGCUUUGUUUUGCAUUUGCAGUAAGAGAAAUCCAAAAGAGAAAGAUCCCAUAUGUAUCAGAAUUAAGCACAAAAUUAGGGAAUGGAAUUUUAGAUUCAAAUGCAUUACACAAAAAGAUGCUUGUAGAACUAAGUAUUUUCUUUGGGCUUCAUUGAAGGUAAAAGUUUUAUAGUCAAGCAGUGGAAGGACAAACUGCUUGAUGUGUUUUCUCCCUCCAGUCUUAGUUGUGUGCAUGCAUCCUAAAUUCAGGACUUUAUUGCCCAGGAUGUACAGUAAUAUGGUAUUCUUUAAUGGGCCAGCUUAAAGGGUGUGAUAUGUAUGUUUUGUUUUAACUAUGCCAGUUCUUUUCAGCCAAGUCAUGACCAACAAGAAGAAUUUGGGAAAUUGUAAAAGGCCUUAAGUUUAGUAGCUACACAAUGUUCUUUUUUAUCACAAAUGCCGGCUUCUCUUCCUUCCUCUUGCAAAGAGAAACUUAAUUUUCCUCUCUGGGGCUCCUUUUCCUGUUUUUCCCAGUAUUUCUGUAUCUUUCCAGCAACCUCUGCACAUGAUCAGAGGCUAGGGAAAUCGGUUAUGUGUUUGUCUGUCUGACAUCUUUUUACAAUAUGACCCGGUGCAAGGUAUAAAGCAGUCCAAUUGUCUCGUCCAGAAGCCUCAGCUGUGGCCAUAAAUGUGUGUUGUUUUUAUAUUUUCCUUCCUGCACUCAAUCAUUUGUAAAGGAAGCAUUUUAAGAACAUAAGAACAUAAGAAGAGCCUGCUGGAUCAGGCCAAUGGCCCAUCUAGUCCAGCAUCCUGUUCUCACAGUGGCCAACCAGGUGCCUGGGGGAAGCCCGCAAGCAGGACCCGAGUGCAAGAACACUCUCCCCUCCUGAGGCUUCCGGCAACUGGUUUUCAGAAGCAUGCUGCCUCUGACUAGGGUGGCAGAGCACAGCCAUCAUGGCUAGUAGCCAUUGAUAGCCCUGUCCUCCAUGAAUUUGUCUAAUCUUCUUUUAAAGCCGUCCAAGCUGGUGGCCAUCACUGCAUCUUGUGGGAGCAAAUUCCAUAGUUUAUUUUCUCCCAAGGAAUGUUUUCUUUUUGCAUGUGUGUCACAGGAGAUUUUAUUACAGGCGUUUUUGACUGGAGCCUCACAAAUUAUUGAUAUCCUUGCCAAAAAUAUUUAGCGGUAAGGGAAAAGUGGUGGUGUUUGGCCAUCUGGCAGGUGGUACAUGGCCAUGGGUAUUAUUCUUUUUAUGUAUAUAUAUAUAUACCCCCUAUGAGUUUUGGGCUUGAGUAUGCUGUUUUGCCAUGGAAAAAGGGUAGGUAGGCAUAUAUGGUAUGUACAGAUGUGUACAAUAAUAAUGAUGUGGAAAAAUAACAUUACAAUUUAGUGUUUGGCUAUAUACACAUGUUUUCAUAUCUCAUUCAAAUAAUGAGUGAUUCUAUAUUGGGUCUUAUAAUGUGUGAGAAGUAGUAAUUUCCUGGGUUCAACUUUUUCCAAUUCUUGUAGCAGUUAAAGCAAAGAAAAAGGAGGCCUGGAUACACGCAGCAUGUGUAAAAAGGACAUUACAUCCAAUAGAUGCCUUCUCAACCAUGGGACCCUGAUGCUUUGUUUUCCUCAGAAGGACUGUUUUUAAAGGAUCUGAUGAAUUCCCACCUCGACAUGCCAGUGGGAGAAAAGGCAUUUCUAAAAGUCACACGGGGGAGGUGGGUUCUGAGAAAUACAGUCUCCGUACUUUUUCCUUCCAGAAAGAAAGCUGCUGCAAUAAACUGUUUUUCUCAUCAUUUGAAUUUCUGAUUAGCAUCAGCAACCCACAGACUGAUCAAUUAAGCUGACUAUCUGAUCUUUUGAAGAUGAACUUUGUACAAACCUGCAGUAUGUUUUAAGACCAUGAUUUUAAUUGUAAUAUUGAAUGUAACCAUUUAUGCAUUGUGUUUUAUGUGACUAUUUAAGCAUUGGCUGUUUUUUCUUACAUAGUUUAAGUGUUAAGAAUGUUUUGCUCUUGGGAUGUUUUUGGCCUUUUAAAUCCCUCGUGAGGAAUAGUGCAAUGCCCAGGAAUUGCACCAGUGGGCUAUAAUUAAGCAUGCAAGAUGGGAAACAAUUAAAGAAAUGAAUCAAGUUCAACUAUUGUAUAUUCUGGACAUGGGUGCAUGUGCCUUAGAACAUUUUGUGAUUAUGUUGUUAUUGAUAAGUGUUAUAUACAACCUAUGCUAAGAUAUAUCAAUGGAUGCUUUGUGGUAUUGAGGAAAUAGUAGGAUGUGAUUUUUCAUUUAAAGUCCCUGUAUGAAUCAUCCAGAGAAUAGAUCUGUUUCAACACCUCAAACCCAUUGCAUUAGGUUAUGGCCUAGCUGAUCUCCAGAAGUUACUUUUUCAUCCUAUGUUACAGAAACAAUUAGAAGCAAUUAAACAAAUGGGAGAACAAGCUACACGUCAGAUAGCACAUGAUUGCUAUACAGUCACUUACAUUAUAGAUAAGUUCUUAUAGAUAGAGACACACAGAUGGUGGAAUUCUCUUUGGUUGGGGUGAAGACGCCAAAGAAGGUUUAAUUCUUAUAGUGCACCCCAUUGUGGUGAUUUUGAUAUUUUAAUUCUGGUCUUCGUUUUAAGGGCCCUUGUGAUAUGGAUUCAAACUUAAAUGGCACAGAUACGCCGAAUGGAAGUCAGCAUUGGAGUCUAGGGGCAAGAUAGUGACUGAGAGGUGAAAGGACAUCUGUAUGGGUAUGCCCUUCACCGGGGAAGUGUAAUAGCUCGGCUAACCCUAUUUUGGUUCAAGUGGAAUCUAGGAGGUGCAAGGCCAAGAGCUAUAGCUUCCACCCCAACUCUCACACAUGCCCCCACCGGAUGGUAUGACUAGUAAUGCGUUCCAAAGGUUUUGUGCAAAGAAAAACAAGGGCAAAGUUAAACGCUGUUGCAUAAAUGUUAUCUUAUUCCUUUGGCAAAUUUCCCUCACCUACAGUGAAUCCCAUUGUUCGUUAGAAAGAGCCUUAGUUGUUUUUAGUGUUAAUUAAAAGCAUACAUGCAGAUAUACACGCACGCAUAUGAGGUUUUCUGGCCUGACUUAAUAUAAAAAGCAUUCAGGACAGUGAAACCUUCCUGUGUUAGAAACCCAGGGAAGUUAGUUUUUCAUUUAAGGCAAUAGGUGGUUCAAGGCUCUCCACAAGAGGAAAUUAACGGUUUCCCUGCCCUAAAUGCUUUUGGGGGAGGACUGUUACACUGAAGUUUGAAUUAAAAGCUUUUCUGUACCUAUAGAAAUGUUGACAAUACAUGUAGAAUGAUGACAAUGACCUUUGGUAAGUUGGCAACAUUAGGUCGUUGUCCAUUUGAUAGGACUCAGCAAACUGAAAAGUAUCAAACAAAUGAACAAGCUAGCAGCUUCAUUUCUUAUCUGCAGUACAGAGUGUAAUGACUAACCCCCACCUUUGGAAUGCAUGUGAAACUGCCUGGAAACGGGAACCUAUAUCUGUGUUACUGUGCUGCUGUAACUUUUAGACCUCACAAACUGACAUGAGUCUAUUGUGAGCUCUCCGCUUUGCAAAACGUAUAGAUAAUAAAAUAGCUUUGGUUAUGAUUCAGAGUCUCGCGUUGUAUUCCAAAGAACAGCCAUGGAUUCUGCAGCAGUGAAGACAUCUCUGUCAGAGUCUGGGGAUUCCACUGAGAUUGUGAGAGAGUCCAUUUGAAGCUUGUUUGCUGAAUUACCUUUGGAAUCUCACCUUCCCUGAAACAAAUCAAAGGUGAUCCUGCAAUUGCGUGGCAUCGGAAACCUGUGAUAUCAUCAUCGCACAUGCCAAUGAACAAUUUGUAUUCACCAGUCAUCUUUCAAGUUCAUCACUGAUACAGGGGACUUUGAUUCCAACACACAGCCAAAGAUUUCCACAGCAGGCAUUUAUUGCUGGAGAAAGAUUGGUUGAAGACAAAGCUCUUCCUCCUACACCAGACAACAGAACUGUACAAAUGUAGGGAUGUUUCCAUGCUCCUGUACCUUCUUUUGGAUGAAGCUCUGAAGCGGAUGAAGCGGAUGAAGCUCUGAAGCGGAUGAAGACAUUCUUGAGGAACGCUGUUUCAGAUGACAGCCUUGGUAAUGCUGUCAGUUGAGAAAUGACUGAGCAAACUUUGUAUAUAUGACAUCAUGAGAAAUCUUCUGAAGAAUUGGAGGAUAGGGGUGGCUGUAAGGGGUGGUGGAGGCCACAAACCAAUCAAUAAAUAGCCAAGUGCAACAGCAUGGAAACCUUCUGCACCAAUGCUCCAAAUAGUGGAAAACUUGGAGGAAAGGGGUGGCUGUAAGGGGAGGUGGAGGCCACACACAGUUUCUCCCAGCAGAGAAGCAGCUGUGGCAGCAGGGACCCCUUCUGAACCAAGGCAAGACUCUUUAAGGAACCUUGAAAAGAAAUGCUAAGCAAUUGUACUAUUGCACUGCUUAAGUGUCUACUGUUUCUUGAGAAGGGAGAAGGAGGAUAGAGAGAGAACCAGAAGAGGUAGAAGCCACACACACUUUCUCCUCAAAUAUCUCCUCAAAAAAUGUUAAUAAAAAUAACCAGGAUUAAAUUAACCUGAAAAGGAAAUAAAUGUAUUGAUAAAUA